rnacentral:rRNA from 1 species
AUUGAACGCUGGCGGCAGGCCUAACACAUGCAAGUCGAGCGGAGCGGCGGACGGGUGAGUAAUGCCUAGGUAUGUGCCUGGUAGUGGGGGAUAACGACCGCAAGCGGGCGCUAAUACCGCAUACUCUCAGAUGAGCCUGGGCCGGAUUAGCUAGGUGGUGGGGUAAAGGCCUACCAAGGCGACGAUCCGUAACUGGUCUGAGAGGAUGAUCAGUCACACUGGAACUGAGACACGGUCCAGACUCCUACGGGAGGCAGCAGUGGGGAAUAUUGGACAAUGGGCGAAAGCCUGAUCCAGCCAUGCCGCGUGUGUGAAGAAGGUCUUCGGAUUGUAAAGCACUUUAAGCUGGGAGGCGUUACCAACAGAAUAAGCACCGGCUAACUCCGUGCCAGCAGCCGCGGUAAUUC